rnacentral:misc_RNA from 1 species
AAGAGAUGUAUGUUUAAAGAUUUUGAAUUAAGGUCCUCGCAAAUCUUUAUAAAACAUAAAAGUUCUGAUUCUUUCCAUUGAUAUGGCACUUUAAGCCCGCACUCUAUCCACAUGACUAAAGACUCGGUCAUUCUGGAGAAAGGAAAUUUCAAGGAAAAUGGCAGCCUAGGUACUAACUGGGUUUCCUUCCUGAAUAUCAACUAGGCUGAUUCUAAACUGCUGUCAAUUUUCAGUGUCAACUUACGUGCAGUAUGCAUUCAGUAUCUCUGCUAGGUAGGAGUAAAGUUGUAGUGAGAAAAGUAGCUGCAUGAUUCAACCAUAGAAAGUUCCAACCUUGUAGCUCCACAUACUAACACAAAUUUUACACGCCAAAACAUCGAUAAAAACAAAAAGAUAGUGACAUCAACAACCAAUAAGACAGCCAACUCAAGCCCAGUUAUUAAGUAUUUAACCAUGUCCAUAUGUCUCUCUCUUCCAUUAAGCAUGUUUCAAUGCAUACUGCGCAGGACUCCAUGAAUGUAGCCACCAGCCAUUACCAACGACACAAGAGAUACAACACCUGCAGGAAAAAUCUUUUUUGACCUUAAGAAACGAGAGCCCAUCACUCCCAUCAGUAUAGAAGACACACCUGGAAAUUUGAAGAAAUUAAAUAAAGUCAAGAUUAACAUCAUAAUAAAGUAACUUUACAUGUUGAGGGUGAGAUGAGAGAGCUAUCCUGGUGUAGCACAAAUGUAAACACAAUUACCACCGAGCGUGAUAGUCUCUGGUGGUUAAUUCGAUGAGAUGGCUUUGUCCCAUGCCAGUUAAAUUCCCCGCACAAACAUGAUAACUAGAUAUUGUCUCUGGUUAGGAGUAUAGUUCGUCUCAUUAGGAGACACCUUGUGUUCAGUGAUAGGUCUCUUCCUGUUGGGUUAAGUUAAAUGAUAACGUCAACCGGUGACUCUGGACUAAGAAGGCUAUGACCGUCAUACCCAUAGAGCCCUCAUUUUUUGCAAUUAAAAAAAAUUGUAAAUUCAAUUAACCCUAUAAGAAUUAGCAUUCAAAAGUCAAAACCAAUAGUUGUUUGAUAAAUAUUAGCAAAUUUAGGAAAGAAAAACACUAAUCAUAAGUUUUCAAUAACAGAAAAUUCCAUCAUUAUGCUAAAUUGCUUUCAUCAAUCAUGACACUAUUAAAAAUGCAAGAAUACACCCAUCCAUUGCUAAUAGGUUAUAGGUGUGAAAGUUUCAAAGACCAAACCUCCAACAAAGUCCAAACGGCAGAGUAAAAGGUAUAACAGGGGAAAUCUUAAUGAUUAGAAAGUGCAUUUUGAUAUUUUCUUUUCUAAAAUCAAGUAUAGAUAGUAUAAAAAAGGGAUAAAAAGUUUAAGAAAGCAAAUCAUGGAAGAGCAAAUCAUGGAGAGAGAGAGAGAGAAAAUGCUAUCUAGGCGCCAAGCCAAAUUGCAAUCACUCAUAGAACAUGCAUAGGAAGCAUUUCUAGCAAACAAAAUAUUGGAAAAUGCAUAGUAAAAAGAAUUCCAUGAAUAUAGGGUUUCUUACCAAGCCCUAUAGACGAGGCAUAAACUGGAUUUGUAGGAAGCUGCGUAUGUACAUAAUACAGUAUUGAAGCAGAUAGGCCUCCUGCCAAAAGUGAUUUCUGGCUACCA